rfam:Schistosoma curassoni strain Dakar, Senegal genome assembly, scaffold: SCTD_scaffold0001230
AUCCACUUGACGUGUCCCAAACAGGAUGAAACACGUGUCCUGGAU